UACGUAGGGUGCGAGCGUUGUCCGGAAUUAUUGGGCGUAAAGAGCUCGUAGGCGGUGUGUCGCGUCGGCCGUGAAAACCUGGGGCUCAACUCUGGGCGUGCGGUCGAUACGGGCAUCACUUGAGUUCGGCAGGGGAGACUGGAACUCCUGGUGUAGCGGUGAAAUGCGCAGAUAUCAGGAGGAACACCGGUGGCGAAGGCGGGUCUCUGGGCCGAUACUGACGCUGAGGAGCGAAAGCAUGGGUAGCGAACAGG
rnacentral:rRNA from 1 species